AAUGAAGUUAGAUUUAUUGUUUUCUUAUCCCUCUUUUAUUGAAAAUAGAAACACUAAACUAUUAUAUUUCUUUUAUAAUGAAAGUAAAGUAUUAAAAAAAACUAUUAUAUUUUAAAAAUAAAAAAUAUAUAUUUAAUAUAUUUUCGGGCCGAGUCCGGGCCAAAAAAAUUGUACCCGAGGCUCGGCCCGUUUUCUAAACGGGUCUAAAUUUUUACCCAAGCCCAUAUUUCGGGCCUAUAUUUUUACCCAAAUCCUCCCAUAUUUAGGGCGGACUUUCGGGCCGGGCCGGGCCGCCUACUCUCUUUAAACCUUGGCAUAGAUUUCCCAAAAGACUCCUCAUAAUUCGUAAUAUCACUCCCACAUUCGAGUUUUUAUUCCAUUCUCCUAAUCCGACCAUUGAUCCAGCCUAAAAUUGACAUAGGUUGCUCUCCUCCACCCUUUCUCUGUCUUCAACCGUUCGGAUUGAUAAACGGAGCUCCGACGCCCUAACUGCUGAAAAACCCGAAAGAUGGGUUCUCUCUUCUCUUUUUUUUUUAUUUGUUUGAAUACUGACUUGUUUGGUUUGCAGGUGUCACGGUGGAGCUCUCUUUCUUUCUUUCUUUUGUAUGUAUUUGUAUUUUGGUUUCCUGUUUAGGUUUGGGUUUUGGGUUGCUGUUGAUCGGUUGGUUCGGCUGUUUGGAGUGGGUUUCAGUUUAGGGGCUCGGUCGUGGUGUUGAUGGUGGCUGGUAAUGUCGAAAAUGGUGGUGAUGUCUUGUUGAGGAAAUGAGGGUGAGAGUGCGAGAGAGAGUGUGAGAGGGAGCUAAGAGAGCGGGAGAGGAGCCCCGAUGACUUAUCAAAGUCGGGGUGAUGAUGGAUGCCAGUAGGGGCACUGUUUUGGUUCGGUGAUGGACUGGUAUAGUGGUAUGAGGGGUGAGGUUUAGAGUUGGCAGAAACUUGGGAGCUGAGAGGGAUGGCCGGUUGGAGCCCAAAGAGCGGUCGAGAGUGAUGGUAAUGGAAGGUUUCUAGGUAAUCGAGAGGGAGCCCCCUUUUUCUUUGUUCUUGGUUGUUUGUGGAGGAGGAGGAUGAUGGAUUGAUGGAGAUGGGACAGGGUGUCUACAGGGUGAUUGUUGUGCAGGGCAUGGGGCGGUAGGUUGGCUGAUAGGAGUUGGUAGUUGGUGGAAGUGAUGGAGUGUAGGGACGGAUUUGCAAAAAGAGAGAAACUUAGGGCCAUUUUUGCAAUAUUUUCUUUUUUGAUUUUGUAAUUUUUAUUUUUGAUUUUUGGGUAUUUUGUAAUUUAAUAAAAUAUAAUAAAAUAUUAAAUAAAAAUUAUAAAAAAAUUAAACAUUAGUGGGCCAAAAACCCAAAACAUUAAAUUUAAAGAAAAUUAUUUUUAAAAAAAACCCUCAAAUCCAAUUUCAAAUAGCUGAAAUAAAAUUUUACAAAAAUCCAGAAGGCUCAAAAUUACAUUAUAAA
rnacentral:lncRNA from 1 species